GCAGAUAUGGUUCAUCGGUAGAACGUUGGCUUCCCAAGCCGAAGAGGGGGGUUCGACUCCCCUUAUCUGCU
rnacentral:tRNA from 3 species